rnacentral:rRNA from 1 species
UACAGGGGGUGCUAGCGUUGUUCGGAAUUACUGGGCGUAAAGGGCGUGUAGGCGGUUUAGUAAGUCAGAUGUGAAAUCCCGGGGCUUAACCCCGGAACUGCAUUUGAAACUACUAGGCUUGAGUGCAGUAGAGGCUAGCGGAAUUCCCAGUGUAGAGGUGAAAUUCGUAGAUAUUGGGAAGAACACCAGUGGCGAAGGCGGCUAGCUGGGCUGCAACUGACGCUAAAGCGCGAAAGCGUGGGGAUCAAACAGG